rnacentral:rRNA from 1 species
GAUGAACGCUGGCGGCGUGCUUAACACAUGCAAGUCGAACGAAGAUGCCGGAGUGCUUGCACUUUGGCAGACUGAGUGGCGGACGGGUGAGUAACGCGUGGGUAACCUGCCUUAUACAGGGGGAUAACAGUUGGAAACGACUGCUAAUACCGCAUAAGCGCACGGUAUCGCAUGAUACAGUGUGAAAAACUCCGGUGGUAUAAGAUGGACCCGCGUCUGAUUAGCUUGUUGGUGAGGUAACGGCCCACCAAGGCGACGAUCAGUAGCCGGCCUGAGAGGGCGACCGGCCACAUUGGGACUGAGACACGGCCCAAACUCCUACGGGAGGCAGCAGUGGGGAAUAUUGCACAAUGGGGGAAACCCUGAUGCAGCGACGCCGCGUGAAGGAAGAAGUAUUUCGGUAUGUAAACUUCUAUCAGCAGGGAAGAAAAUGACGGUACCUGACUAAGAAGCCCCGGCUAAACUACGUG